rnacentral:rRNA from 1 species
GGGCCCGCACAAGCGGUGGAGCAUGUUCUUUAAUUCGAUGCAACGCGAAGAACCUUACCAGGGCUUGACAUCCUGCGAACCUCUGGGAAACCGGAGGGUGCCUUCGGGAACGCAGUGACAGGUGGUGCAUGGCUGUCGUCAGCUCGUGUCGUGAGAUGUUGGGUUAAGUCCCGCAACGAGCGCAACCCACGUCUUUAGUUGCCAGCAUUUAGUUGGGCACUCUAGAGAGACCGCCGGUGACAAACCGGAGGAAGGUGUGGAUUACGUCAAGUCAUCAUGCCCCUUACAUCCUGGGCUACACACGUACUACAAUGCUACGGACAAAGGGCAGCAAACUCGCGAGAGCUAGCAAAUCCCAUAAACCGUGGCUCAGUUCAGAUCGUAGGCUGCAACUCGCCUACGUGAAGGAGGAAUCGCUAGUAAUCGC